rnacentral:rRNA from 1 species
UACAGAGGGUGCAAGCGUUGUUCGGAAUUAUUGGGCGUAAAGGGCGCGUAGGCGGUGCGGUAAGUCGGGUGUGAAAUCUCCACGCUCAACGUGGAGGGGCCACUCGAUACUGCCAUGACUCGAGUCCGGUAGAGGAGUGUGGAAUUCCCGGUGUAGCGGUGAAAUGCGCAGAUAUCGGGAGGAACACCGGUGGCGAAGGCGGGUCUCUGGGCCGAUACUGACGCUGAGGAGCGAAAGCGUGGGGAGCGAACAGG